GACGAACGCUGGCGGCGUGCCUAAUACAUGCAAGUAGAACGCUGAAGAGAGGAGCUUACUCUUCUUGGAUGAGUUGCGAACGGGUGAGUAACGCGUAGGUAACCUGCCUUGUAGCGGGGGAUAACUAUUGGAAACGAUAGCUAAUACCGCAUAACAAUGGAUGACACAUGUCAUUUAUUUGAAAGGGGCAAUUGCUCCACUACAAGAUGGAUCUGCGUUGUAUUAGCUAGUAGGUGAGGUAAUGGCUCACCUAGGCGACGAUACAUAGCCGACCUGAGAGGGUGAUCGGCCACACUGGGACUGAGACACGGCCCAGACUCCUACGGGAGGCAGCAGUAGGGAAUCUUCGGCAAUGGGGGCAACCCUGACCGAGCAACGCCGCGUGAGUGAAGAAGGUUUUCGGAUCGUAAAGCUCUGUUGUAAGUCAAGAACGGGUGUGAGAGUGGAAAGUUCACACUGUGACGGUAGCUUACCAGAAAGGGACGGCUAACUACGUG
rnacentral:rRNA from 1 species